rnacentral:tRNA from 1 species
UGUUCUGUGGCUUGAUUGGGUAAAGUGCCGCGCCGGUCUAGCGAAUACGAAGUUGUGGGUUCAAAUCCCACCAGAAUGC